CAAUUCAUACACCGAGAUAUAUGUAUUUAUCAUGUUUCAUGCAGGUUCGUGUGCGGGUUAUUUUUAUAUAAGUAUGCAAGUUCUUUCCAAUGGAAAUCAUCAUCAACUUUGCUGGUGGUCUGGUCAUUCUGUAUCACUACGUUUGUCUUCACCGAGGAUACACUUUUCCCAGAUUGUUUCUUCCACAACCAGGCAAAUCAGGACAUCUCUCUUCCUAAAUGACAUGCAAUACAACUCUCUUCACACAAUUUGAUUAUUUUGUUUUUUCGAGUGGUCAAAUCCUGGUCACAAUGAGUCGUACAGUAUAAAUGAUCUUCAGAGUUGUCUGAUGAUCUCAUUGGAUAUCAGGCUUCAAAACUGGCUCUUCUUUGGACGUCAAACAAAUCUAUCUAAAGUGUAUUUCUCAAGAUAAAUAAAAUGCUCCAAGUAUUUUCCAGUUCAUAUGAUUAGUGUCUCAAGCCAUUCUCAAGUUCUUUUCUGUAAUUGUACGCUGCAAUUUGAUGGCUCCUGUUUCCUGCAAUUCAGUUACAGAUGUACUGUUAGGAAUCCAUUGUGGCUUAUUUAUAUUUGUGGAUCAAAAAAAUGGAGAGGUUUCUCUCCUCUCCACCUGCAAGUCUUAGUAGAGAGAAUGAAAACGGCUUUCAAAGGAUCUAGCCUCUAUUCUUAUCAACAAGGCCUGCAAUCAAAUGCUUCUUGUUUGUUGUUCUCUGGUCUUUGUAUUAUUUCACCAAAUGGUUUCUGUAUUAAUUCGAUGAAUGGUUACACUAUUCACAUAAUAAGUCCAACUAUGAAAGAGCUGUACGCUGACUGAGAUGGCAACAACAACCUGUCGUGCACCACCAACGCAGGCGGCUUGCCUUCAUCAUCCCUGAGCUAUGGAAGGAGCACCAAGGUUAAAGGUCUCCUCCAGGUCGAGCAAGGCAACAGAUUAAAAGAAAUCCCCAAACAGAAAGGGAAGGCACGUCAUCCCCACUCUACUUCAG